UACGAAGGGAGCUAGCGUUGUUCGGAAUCACUGGGCGUAAAGCGCACGUAGGCGGAUGUGUCAGUCAGGGGUGAAAUCCCGGAGCUCAACUUCGGAACUGCCUUUGAUACAGCACGUCUUGAGUCCGAUAGAGGUGGGUGGAAUUCCUAGUGUAGAGGUGAAAUUCGUAGAUAUUAGGAAGAACACCGGUGGCGAAGGGCGGCCCACCUGGGAUCGGUACUGACGCUGAGGUGCGAAAGCGUGGGGAGCAAACAGG
rnacentral:rRNA from 1 species